UACGUAGGGGGCUAGCGUUGUCCGGAAUCAUUGGGCGUAAAGCGCGUGUAGGCGGCCCGGUAAGUCCGCUGUGAAAGUCGGGGGCUCAACCCUCGAAUGCCGGUGGAUACUGUCGGGCUAGAGUGCGGAAGAGGCGAGUGGAAUUCCUGGUGUAGCGGUGAAAUGCGCAGAUAUCAGGAGGAACACCGAUUGCGAAGGCAGCUCGCUGGGACGUUACUGACGCUGAGACGCGAAAGCGUGGGGAGCAAACAGG
rnacentral:rRNA from 1 species